UCAGUUGAAACAAUCAGUAUCCUGAGGAGCACUGCAUUGAGUUCUGCGGUUUAGACUAUAGCUGCCCACUGUCUACACUUUAUGAUAGCAUGCUGUGAUGGUGCUCUGCUGGCGGGCAGCUGGUUUCCAUGGCAGGAACAUGGUUGGAGAGACUGAAUUCUUCACAACAGCUCUUCAGAAGACAUAUGCUUCACAUCUGAGCAGCGUGCUGGGACUGCAGUGCAGGCUGGAGGUUUGUGCGCCGACGCCAUUCUGGCUGCCCAUGCCUGUAGAAGGGUGCAGCACUGACUCGGGCUCCUGGGCUGGGACUGGGGCUCCUUCAUCCCCUCAGUAAGUCAAACCCG